rnacentral:rRNA from 1 species
UGGGGAAUUUUGGACAAUGGGCGCAAGCCUGAUCCAGCCAUGCCGCGUGCGGGAAGAAGGCCUUCGGGUUGUAAACCGCUUUUGUCAGGGAAGAAAUCUUCUGAGUUAAUACCUCGGGAGGAUGACGGUACCUGAAGAAUAAGCACCGGCUAACUACGUGCCAGCAGCCGCGGUAAUACGUAGGGUGCAAGCGUUAAUCGGAAUUACUGGGCGUAAAGCGUGCGCAGGCGGUUUUGUAAGACAGAGGUGAAAUCCCCGGGCUCAACCUGGGAACUGCCUUUGUGACUGCAAGGCUUGAGUGCGGCAGAGGGGGAUGGAAUUCCGCGUGUAGCAGUGAAAUGCGUAGAUAUGCGGAGGAACACCGAUGGCGAAGGCAAUCCCCUGGGCCUGCACUGACGCUCAUGCACGAAAGCGUGGGGAGCAAACAGGAUUAGAUAGCCCUGGUAGUCCACGCCCUAAACGAUGUCAACUGGCUUGUUGGGAAGGUUCCUUCUCAGUAACGUAGCUAACGCGUGAAGUUGACCGCCUGGGGAGUACGGCCGCAAGGUU